rnacentral:rRNA from 1 species
UGGCGGCGUGCUUAACACAUGCAAGUCGAACGGAAAGGCCCUGCUUUUGUGGGGUGCUCGAGUGGCGAACGGGUGAGUAACACGUGAGUAACCUGCCCUUGACUUUGGGAUAACUUCAGGAAACUGGGGCUAAUACCGGAUAGGAGCUCCUGCUGCAUGGUGGGGGUUGGAAAGUUUCGGCGGUUGGGGAUGGACUUGCGGCUAAUCAGCUUGUUGGUGGGGUAGUGGCUUACCAAGGCUUUGACGGGUAGCCGGCCUGAGAGGGUGACCGGCCACAUUGGGACUGAGAUACGGCCCAGACUCCUACGGGAGGCAGCAGUGGGGAAUAUUGCACAAUGGGCGGAAGCCUGAUGCAGCAACGCCGCGUGCGGGAUGACGGCCUUCGGGUUGUAAACCGCUUUCGCCUGUGACGAAGCGUGAGUGACGGUAAUGGGUAAAGAAGCACCGGCUAACUACGUGCCAGCAGCCGCGGUGAUACGUAGGGUGCGAGCGUUGUCCGGAUUUAUUGGGCGUAAAGGGCUCGUAGGUGGUUGAUCGCGUCGGAAGUGUAAUCUUGGGGCUUAACCCUGAGCGUGCUUUCGAUACGGGUUGACUUGAGGAAGGUAGGGGAGAAUGGAAUUCCUGGUGGGGCGGUGGAAUGCGCAGAUAUCAGGAGGAACACCAGUGGCGAAGGCGGUUCUCUGGGCCUUUCCUGACGCUGAGGAGCGAAAGCGUGGGGAGCGAACAGGCUUAGAUACCCUGGUAGUCCACGCUGUAAACGGUGGGUACUAGGUGUGGGGUCCAUUCCACGGGUUCCGUGCCGUAGCUAACGCUUUAAGUACCCCGCCUGGGGAGUACGGCCGCAAGGCUAAAACUCAAAGGAAUUGACGGGGCCCCGCACAAGCGGCGGAGCAUGCGGAUUAAUUCGAUGCAACGCGUAGAACCUUACCUGGGUUUGACAUGGAUCGGGAGUGCUCAGAGAUGGGUGUGCCUCUUUUGGGGUCGGUUCACAGGUGGUGCAUGGCUGUCGUCAGCUCGUGUCGUGAGAUGUUGGGUUAAGUCCCGCAACGAGCGCAACCCUUGUUCACUGUUGCCAGCACGUUAUGGUGGGGACUCAGUGGAGACCGCCGGGGUCAACUCGGAGGAAGGUGGGGAUGACGUCAAGUCAUCAUGCCCCUUAUGUCCAGGGCUUCACGCAUGCUACAAUGGCUGGUACAGAGAGUGGCGAGCCUGUGAGGGUGAGCGAAUCUCGGAAAGCCGGUCUCAGUUCGGAUUGGGGUCUGCAACUCGACCUCAUGAAGUCGGAGUCGCUAGUAAUCGCAGAUCAGCAACGCUGCGGUGAAUACGUUCCCGGGGCUUGUACACACCGCCCGUCAAGUCAUGAAAGUUGGUAACACCCGAAGCCGGUGGCCUAACCGUUGUGGGGGAGCCGUCGAAGGUGGGACUGGUGAUU